AUUGAACGCUGGCGGCAGGCCUAACACAUGCAAGUCGAACGGUAACAGGAAGAAGCUUGCUGCUUUGCUGACGAGUGGCGGACGGGUGAGUAAUGUCCGGGAAACUGCCAGAUGGAGGGGGAUAACUACUGGAAACGGUAGCGAAUACCGCAUAACGUCGCAAGACCAAAGAGGGGGACCUUAGGGCCUCUUGCCCUCGGAUGUGCCCAGAUGGGAUUAGCUAGUAGGUGGGGUAACGGCUCACCAAGGCGCCGAUCCCUAGCUGGUCUGAGAGGAUGACCAUCCACACUGGAACUGAGACACAGUCCAGACUCCUACGGGAUGCAUCAGUGUAGCAUCUUGCACAAUGGCCACAAGCCUAAUGCACCCAUGCCCCGUGUAUGAAGAAGGCCUUCUGGUUGUAAAGUACUUUCAGCGGGGAGUAAACGAAUAAAGUUAAUACCUUGCCUCAUUAACGUUACCCGCACAAGAAGCACCGGCUAACUCCGUG
rnacentral:rRNA from 1 species